rnacentral:rRNA from 1 species
UGGGGAAUAUUGGACAAUGGGCGCAAGCCUGAUCCAGCCCUGCCGCGUGAGUGACGAAGGCCUUAGGGUUGUAAAGCACUUUUGGCAGGGAUGAAAAGCACUGGAUUAAUAACCCAGUGUGUUGACCUAACCUGCAGAAGAAGCACCGGCUAACUCUGUGCCAGCAGCCGCGGUAAUACAGAGGGUGCAAACGUUGUUCGGAAUUACUGGGCGUAAAGCGAGUGUAGGCGGUUUGGUAAGUCGGAUGUGAAAGCCCCGGGCUCAACCCGGGAAGUGCACUCGAUACUGCCAAGCUAGAGUAUCGGAGAGGUUGGUGGAAUUCUCGGUGUAGAGGUGAAAUUCGUAGAUAUCGAGAGGAACACCGGUGGCGAAGGCGGCCAACUGGACGAAUACUGACGCUGAGACUCGAAAGCGUGGGGAGCAAACAGGAUUAGAUACCCCCGUAGUCCCUGAGCGGGCUGGCAAGGCGCAU